CUUUAGUGGCCAUCUCAGCCUCAUCUCCCAACAUCCACGUUGGCAGGGGCCAAGCCCCAAUCUCACAAAGCCCCCUGCAAGUCUCGAUCUGGGGGGCUGCCAGGUCGCAGUGCCUUUUGCAUACGCUGUUCCGUCUAGGCCCGGUGCCCUUCCUCCUCACCCCCCUGACAAAUCCCACUUGUCUUUUACAGCUAACCUCAAGGGCCACCUCUUCCAUGAAGCCUACCCUGAUGCUCCAUGGGGAGAAUCAGCCCUCUUGCCUCCUAGCCUAUUCAUCAUUCACCUUGUAUGGAAUCUUCUAGAAGAUGACACGAGUCGGGACAUGCUUAGCCCAGCGCCCGGCACCAGGUAACUAUCAUGGACAUAGGAGGUAUUCUCCUUUUCUCUCUGGCUGCCUUUAAGAUCUUCUCUUUGUGUUUGAUGUCUUUGAAUUUCAUGCUGCUGUGUCUUGGCUGGAUGGCCUUCUAUUUAUCAAGCUAAGCAUGUCGUGUCAUGUGUCCAUUUAAAGUUCUCAGCCAUUAUCAUGUCACACGUUGCCUCUUCCUCAUUCUGUCUGUCCCCUUCUGGGACUCUGGUUUCUUGCGUGGUUGAUAUUCUUCCUCUGUCUUUGCUGUCUCUCUCUUAUCUUCUAUAUCUUUGUCUGGGUUGAAUUCAAAGUCAUUUUUUUUCACAUCUAUAAUCCAGUUUAUUCGCUUCAUCUCUGUCUUAAGCUGCCAUUUAAUAUAUCUAUUAAGCACCUAUUUCAGUUGUUACAUUUUUUAUUUUUGGAUAUAUUAUUUAGCUCUUUUUCACAUCUGCCCAGAUGAUCUUCGAUCUUAUUUAUACUUUCAAUACCCUCUUUUGCAUCUUUAGAGAUAUGAAAUAUAUUUAUUCUAUAAUCUCUGUGUGAUAAUUCCAAUAUUUCAGAUCUUUUCUGGAGUUCCUUUCAUGGCUGAGAAUGAACCCAACUAGGAUCCAUGAGGAUGCAGGUUCAA
rnacentral:lncRNA from 1 species